ensembl:lncRNA
CUUGACUGAAGCCUUCUCAGUACAGGGACCUUUAAGGUCGGAGGCAAGAAGUUACAGGCCUCCACUGGGAGGUUUGGUUUCCAGGGUCCUUUGAUGGCUCAGAUGCUCUCCACGCUCAGUGAUAACCCUCCACACCAGGUCACCUCCAGCCCUUGGCUAUUUCAUGAGGAAGCACCUGGUGCUGGGCUCCUGUCUUUGUGGCACUGGCUCCUUUUAAACAUGUGGUCACCUCCCUCUGCUCACCCAUCCGUCUUCCACCCCCAGGAAGAUUUGGAGGCUUUGGAGGAAUUUAAGGAGUUCACACAGCUAAAGAGACUUGUUCCAGAGAACCUGCUUAUACCUGAACAGAUGGAAACAUGUGAACCAGAGAGUAACUAGUGGGACACGCUGGGACACGCUGGGACACGCUGAGACACGCUGGGACACGCUGGGACACGCUGGGAUAAUCUGGGACACGCUGGGACAUGCUGGGACACGCUGGGAUAAUCUGGGACACGCUGGAACACGCUGGGACACGCUGGGAUACCCUGACAUACACUGCCCAGUUGCCACCCAUCCAGCAAACGUCCUGUCCUUAGUCUCCUUCAGGGCUUCUGGGGAUUUCCUACCUGCUGGUGUAUACCUGCCAUCCCUGUGUCCCUGAGCCUACUCUGACCAUGGAGCAGAAAGUCCUGGGCCCUGAAUGAGGAUGGCCAGGGACAGGUGGGGUCAUGAUAUCCAUAUCCUUUAUGCCUCCACUUGUCAGUCACACCCUUGC